ensembl:lncRNA
CCAGACUCUGGUCUGAGUGGUUGACUUGUAUCCCCAAGAUUACUCCUCCUAGCACCAGGUGAGUGGGCUGUCUUUGGGGCUACAUCAAUAUCAGGGGACACUGGGUUGUUCAGCCUGGCUGGCUGAAGCUUCCUGGAAGAAAACAUCUCAUUUUCAGAUUUUGAGAUGCCUUAAAGUCUGGUCUUUAGUCCUUCUGGCUGAAGGAAGUCAAUUUUAAGAGCUGACUGACCAUAGUCUUCUUUCUCAGAUAGUAAGAUGCUUAUGAGAAAGUAAGAAAGUUCAAAAGAAUUCAUUUAGGUUUUGACAAAACCCAUCCUUGCAGGACAGCAACCUCUGCGUUCGUGUGUCACCUCCAAUCUACUGCAGCAGAGGCAGAGCAGCAGGUGGGUGCCCAGGCUUCUGCCAGGUACCCUGGGACAGCACCACUAUCUCAUGCUGUGUCUCUCUCACACCUACUGUACCAGACUGCCAGCUGUGGUGGGUGGCUUUAAAGAUAGAGCUCAGAAUACAGGCUCUCAUCUUGGGAUUGACCUGCAGAGAAAUGGGUGGAGAGGGAUUCUCCAAAGGGAUGUUUGGAAAGUAAACCUACUCUGUGGAGGGGCUGGAAACGUGUGUUACCUCUGUGGCUGAUGCUGAAACCCUCUGCUUGCUGCCAGGAGCUGAACCUCCAGGUAUGACCAGAUGUAGCUGGAUGACUAGAGUAAAAAUGGCAUCAGCAAUGUCAGCUGAUGAGAUUUGAGAAGUAACCACUUCCAGUGACCUCUGGGCCAUAGCAGCAUGCAUGAACAGAGUGCCUCAAACAGUUUGUGUGGGAAGCCACUCAUAGCGUAUCUAUGGGCUGUUUAAAUGGAUGGAAAUUGCAUCAUACGCAUCAGACAGAUGUCUGAGAAACCCGAAAAGGGGGAUGCAUGUCUGCAGCAGAGAGAAUGCUUUUCUUUUCUCCUUGGGUACCACUGUGUGCCAGCACCAGCAGGCAAGCUCGUGGGUCAGGCCCUGCUGCACAGGCUCCAGAGGCAGCAAGAACCUGCUGAAAAAAACAAAUCUUAAUGCCGAAAUACUCCUUAGUACUUUUCUCAUGUUCCUUUCACAAAGGCUGUGGAAAGCUUGGGGUAUUUUCCUAACUCACACCCCAACACAAAACUCUCAUUUAUCAAGUAUUUAUCUGCUGUGCUGUAACUUGCUGCUGUCAUUAAAUAAUGCAUCUGAAAUGCAGGCUUGAGCGGAUCACUCUGCUGAGAGCGCUGUGCUUUUGAAAUGUGAUGGAGCUCAUCUGCCUGUCCUGGACCAAAGAGGCAGACAAGGCUGGGCUGGUUUGGGCACGGCUGCAGGUUUGUCCUCACUGUUCCUUGCUCAGGGAUAUCACUUCACAAACAGUAAAUAGGCUUCCAGUUUUUAUUUCCAAGUUUAGAUAAAAUGAUCUGUAUUUUCAUUUUCUUUUAGAAAGAAAGCAGGCUGGAGAAGCAUCCCAGAAUGGCCAGAAGCUCAUUAUAAGCUUUUUCUCUCAGAUUCAGUCCCAUUCCCAACAUUUUCCAGUUUGUUGAAGCCAAUAUAUUUGUUUUCAGCAAAUGAAUGCUUUAUGAUGACAACCCCUCUCGUGGGGAAGAUGCCUGCUGGUACCUCCUGGGGCUCAGAAGGGAAGCCUGGGAACCAUUGUUGGUUUUGAGUCCAAAACAGUGCAUUCCUGUGGUGGUAAAAUUACUUCUGUUUUAUUCUUUAUGGAUAUCAAAAUACUGAGUUCAGAGCUUCAUUUAAAACAAUAGCAUUUUGUGCAAGUAAAUCAUCUUGCUUAUGUGCAGUCUUUCUACUUACAAAGUCCAUAUUGAUUCUCCUGUCCCACUGAACAGCCCUGCUCUGCCUAAAGACCACUCAGGCCUGCUCAGGAUAGAUGCGAUUUAUCAACAUACUUCUCCAGCCAUAGCUGUAGUGUUUACACACAGUUCAAACAUUCAGAUGUGGCCCCUUCUCCUCAGAUGGAUGAUGUGGAAAUUAUUUUCUGUUCUGAACUAAUUCUUCCUGUUGGCACCUACAGCAUUUUUUGUUCAUGUACUUAUUGAUUGAUUAGUCCGGCCUCAACAGUUCUAUGCGACCCUUCAGUCUUGCUGUUAACCUAUGCCUGUGCCCAUUCCAGACCACAUCAUUCAGUACCACCUCUGCCCUUUCCCUGAGCACCUCCAGGAAUGCUGACCCCACCACCUCCCUGGGCAGCCUGUUCCAAUGCAUCACUUGUGUCUGUACUCAGUGCAGCAGGCUCUGAGCUCUGUGAGAUGCUGCUGUACAAACAGCAUGGGUGUGUUGUCUGUGAUGUAGCUACUUGGGAUUGUUGCAGGACCCCACCAUGAGCAAGACAGCUGCAGGCAUUUUCUCUUGUCCUUUUCUCUUGUCCUUGUGAGAGGCAGGGCAGGUUGUCCCUGGUGUUGCAGCGAGGGGCAGGGACCUCCCUACAGCCCUGGGCUCUGCAGGUGAGCAGGGGAUGAACAUGAGGAACGCUGCAGGCAGACCCUUCCCAGCUGCUCCCUUCCCACCAGGCAGGGCUCCUCAUGGACAGCCUGGGCCCACUCAGCCAUGCAGGCAGCUCCCUGGGCCUGUGCUGCAGCUCUGCUCAGCUUUAUUUUUGUUCUUCUUCCAGUAUUUGCAGUACCCAUUUACUCCUGAGGCAUGCGAGUCUGACUAAUCCUUCAGGGGUGUCUCAGGGGAGGACCAUCCUACAGAAAAGCAUGUCUCCCUGCAGUGUGAACUCCCACCGGGUGCAUCUGGCUCUGGGACAAGGCUCAUGCAGUGCUGGGGAAGACCCAAUAUCGUAUAAUUUAGAUGCUUUCCACUCUUCCUUCCAGAAGUUGGCAAACUGCUUACCUGCCUCUAAAGCAUCCCUGUUGUUGUGACUCUGUGUCCAUCUCAGCCUCCUGUCACCAGCCUGAAAGACUGAGCUUUUUGCUGCAUGCUUCAGCAGUAGCGCCUGCAGAGGUGUAACAGAUGCAGUAAGAAUUGCACCUGCUUCCACUGCUAUCAGAAGUCAAACAGCUGAUUGUUACCUCUCCAGGGGCAUUGGUGAGCUUCAGUCGUUGCUCUCCUAUUUCAAAAUCCCACCUUUAAAAAGAAAAAUAAGACACAAAAAAAUGUGGAGCCUGGAAAGAAGCUCAAACUUUCUGUCCCCAUCUUUCUGCUUUUUUUUCUUCCUGUGGAAUAGCAUGGAAAAGUCACCAUCACUGAGAUCUCAGAUAUCUCAGCAGUGUUACAGUGAGGGCCAGAGGAUGAGUUUGAGUGGGCUUUUGUACUUAAAGUUCUAUUGGAUGAAUGUGGAUCUGGAUGUUUAGCAUCCGGGGGGGUGCAUGGCUGCUUAGGUCAGCCCAGACGCUCGUGGGAGUCAUGGGAGUGAACAACCAGCACUUCAUCUGCAGGACCUGCCCCUGCCCUGCAGGACUGUGCUGGAGCCCCACCUCCAGUUCCAUUGCUACUGGAGCCAUUCACCCCAGGGAAAGCCCAGGGCGGGCCCUGGACAGGCACAAUUCAAUGGGAAAGGAAGCAGUACAAACAAGAAGACUGUGUUCUUGGCAGCAGCUGCCUGGAAGAUGGCUGGGACGUGCAGCUAAAUAUCUGGCAGAGAAGAGGGCAUCAAAAACCAACAGGAGAGAAUAAAUGAUGUUCCAGCGGGAUGCUAGAAGUGCCACCCUAGCACAGCCCCGUUCCUGCUUACAGAUGCUUGUGAGCUGCUCCCACCCACGGCACAGGAGCUCUGCUAUUGACUUCCCGAGAGCAAAGGAGAUUUUAGAAGCCUUCCUGUGACUUCAAUCUAUCAAAGCAAGGGAGCACAUUUGCAUGUCUCCCACCGAGCUCAGUGUUUAGCAG